ACCAUCCUAAGGUAGCGAAAUUCCUUGUCGGGUAAGUUCCGACCUGCACGAAUGGCGUAACGACUUCCCCGCUGUCUCAACCAUGAGCUCGGCGAAAUUGCAGUACGAGUAAAGAUGCUCGUUUCGCGCAGAAGGACGGAAAGACCCCGGGACCUUUACUAUAGCUUGGUAUUGGUGUUCGCUUGGACUUGUGUAGGAUAGGUGGGAGACUGUGAAGCUGCCGCGCCAGCGGUGGUGGAGUCGUCGUUGAAAUACCAUUCUGGUUCAAGCGGUCACCUUAACCUUGGCCCGUGAUCCGGGUUGGGGACAGUGCCUGGUGGGUAGUUUAACUGGGGCGGUUGCCUCCUAAAAUGUAACGGAGGCGCUCAAAGGUUCCCUCAGCCUGGUUGGUAAUCAGGUGGCGAGUGCAAGUGUACAAGGGAGCUUGACUGUGAGACCGACGGGUCGAGCAGGUGCGAAAGCAGGAACUAGUGAUCCGGCCAUGGCACGUGGGUGCGUGGUCGCUCAACGGAUAAAAGGUACCCCGGGGAUAACAGGCUGAUCUUGCCCAAGAGUCCAUAUCGACGGCAUGGUUUGGCACCUCGAUGUCGGCUCGUCGCAUCCUGGGGCUGGAGCAGGUCCCAAGGGUUGGGCUGUUCGCCCAUUAAAGCGGUACGCGAGCUGGGUUUAGAACGUCGUGAGACAGUUCGGUCCCUAUCCUCUGCGCGCGCAGGAGACUUGAGAAGGCCUGUCCCUAGUACGAGAGGACCGGGACGGACGAACCUCUGGUGUGCCAGUUGUCCCGCCCGGGGCACGGCUGGUUGGCUACGUUCGGGAAGGGUAACCGCUGAAAGCAUCUAAGCGGGAAACCAUCUUCAAGAUAAGGUCUCCACAAGAAGGACUUGUCCUUUUUGGUAGGCCCCCAGCAGACUACUGGGUUGAUAGGCCAGAAGUGGAAGACCGGCAACGGUCUGUGAGCUGACUGGUACUAAUAGGCCAACACAAACAACAA
rnacentral:rRNA from 1 species